UACAUUCUGGGUUUUUUUUUUUUUAACCCUUCACAUCCGGAAAUAAGUAUGUAUUUGUAUGCAUUCUGUUGUUAUUUUUUAACCCUUCACGGGCACCAGCAUGGGCCUAUGGUACAUGCCACGCCAGCAGCACCUGGGACAGGGCUGCUUAGUAUGUGAGCAUGGGCUUAGGGGACAAGCCGCGCCAGCAGCGCCUGGGAUAGGGUGCUUAAUGUCUCCCUGUUGGUGGGGGAGACUAUCAUGGGUCAGUAUACUACUGACGCCAAAUCUGUCACAGCGCCGGUCUACGGCAGAGCCCAUGCCAGCAGCACCUAGUAAAGGGCUGCUUAAUGUGUGACAGCGCCAGCCUGUAGGAGAAGCCGUGCCAGCAGCGCCUGGGACAGGGCUGCUUCAUGUCUCCAUUUUGGAGGAGAGCAUGCCGGGUCAGUAUACUGCUGACGCCGAGUCUGAGGGUAUAGCUGCGGAGCAUACCCCAAGGGAUGAAGGACACGUGUCAGAGGUACCAUUUCCUGACAACAAAGUUGCCAUCCCAACAGAAUGUUCCAUCCUGGUAUAGGUCCAUUGGAAGGGCCGUAUCAGCGCAGGUAUCCUCUCUGAGGAGGGGAGUGCGAAAGGUCAGAUGUAACUGACUCCACAUUCUAAAGAUGUAGGUGGAACAUACUGGAGUACAUGAGUGCCGGCAGUGAACAGCGCUAUCAGGGGGAUAUGUGAGUCAGCCGCCAAAUCUUCUGUUCAGGUAAGGCCUAUUCAACAGGAAAAACCUGGUGGAUGAAGCAAAAGCUGUCGGACCAAUCAAGGCCAACGGCGGGCAGAGCUUCAUCAUUUCGGCGACAGCGCACCCCAUGCCUACAUCGGCAGUGGGCAGUUCACUGAAGCUGGUGGCAGCAUGACAGCUGGUCACAGGUUCCACGCACACUACCAGUCCUACUCAACAAGGUGGGUCUGGCACUUCCGAAACAUGGGUAAGUGGACCACUCACAAGUUGGUAAUAUUUACACUUGUUUGUACAGCACACACAGGAUAAAAGCAUUGUCAUCUGCUUAGAGGGCACAAUACUAGCAUUCCAAGCAAGUUUGGAAUUAGGGCCAGAAUUGUCGUUUUCAAGACAGGCUCGAAAAUCGGGCAGAGUUAUCGUGCGAAGCACCCAUGGAAUGAUGGCAGGAGUGGCCUGUUCAUUAUGAAAAAUGGAGAAUGUCGUUUAACUGUAGUAAUAACAGUAAAACAUUGCAAAAUGGGAUAAACUAUAUUCCCAGGUUAUUUAACUAAUUAUAAAAUCGGUGUUUGGACUCAGAGUUCGAAAACACUUGUUAUGUCUUGUCUGGAUGAUAUUCUAAUGCUGUAUUUUUGUUAAAAUCACUGGUUCAGCCUCAAACUAUAUUUGAGAAAUUGGGCUCAUCCAUCCAGCUAACUUUAAGUUGUUACCAAAUAGACUUGUUGGUCAUUGGGAUUUACCUUGAACUAUUGAUUAGUUAUGACUCCGCCUUAUGGCAUGAAAUUGGAGUUAAUAGAAACCUGUUAUAAAGCUGAAUUCUAUUCAUCUAGAGUAUUGGCAAUAUAGUAGCUGUGAUUCAGCUGUGCAAGCCGGGGAACUGACAUUGUGCAAAGUAGCAAUCUCUCAAAUGACAUGUGGGUGAUUGUUAACAGGCUUAUGCUAUGACCAGCUGAAGCUACUGAAGUCACAAUGAUGAACAAACAGUAUUCAGCAUUGCUCCAACUAAGUGCUCUAAGAUGGAAAAUUGCGAAUGUCAUCUCUGGUUGGAGGAGAUUUGCAUGAGUUGCCAAUUCUUCAGUUGUUGGUAUCAACUAGCUAUAGAUGCUAAACGCAUCCCAUGGGUAAAGGGCUAUUGAGCGAAUACAUAAUCUACAAGCCCAAUUUCAAGUUGAUACACUACGGUGGUGGCAGAUGAUAGUCACAUGGCAAUUAAGUAAAGUAUCCUGGAAUAUUUACUUAAUUCCUUGCCACUGGUGUAUCAUCAAGUUCAGGUUCAUGACAACACAUAAUAAGUGUUGAAUCACAAAGUAUUUACGAAAAUAUGGUUCAUGCCUUUUCACUGAUUGCAAAAAUACAUUCUCGCCCCAAGAACGAGGAAUGUUCUUUUAUGCCUUUCUCCAUUUUGCCUCAUCAAUCGGGUCUUGAAAUAAAGUCAGCAAGAUCUCGCUUUAGUUUUCGUACUGUCUGACUGGCUAUGCAAUCAUGCUUCCCGCUUCCGUUAAUAAUACAACCAUAUACGGUUAUUCUAAAAUCAAAAACUUUGUUAGUUCAAACUGUGGUUCAGGAAGCCAGCCUAAUAAAACAAUUAUUGGCUUACACAUUCUGAAUGGACUGCCUUACGGGUUGGAUUGUCACAUCAAUCCGUGGAUAUGCUCACUGCAGAGUGCAGGGAUAGCACCGAAAAAGCAGUACAUUUCCUAUCGAGGAGAUUGGAAGCGGUUUGUUUAAUGUUAAUGUUACAUUUAAUAUGGCACAGAUUACUGACGUCUUCCAGUUCAAGGUUAAAUGGUUUGUGACAAUAAUUCAGUUAUAGGGCCAUUAACUGUGCCCAACGUACCUUCCCAUCAUAUUGGCUGCAGCUUUCAACCCCGGAUAUCGAGUUUGUAAGAGAUAUCUUUAACACAAGUUCUCCCAGUCCAAGUAUAGGCAGUAUUGAAUAUGUACAGUGUGUUAACAAUACUUCACCAGGGGGCUCCAGCUACAUCCUUAGUCAUAUUUCGGCAUACCCCACGGACUCACGUCUAUGAGUACGGGCACGUUUGCUAUAUUUUAUCAAGGCCACGAGAACCCUAAGAGGUGAGUAAUCAGCAUUGUUUAUUAGCCACAAACAACCACACAAGAAAAGGUCGGUUCAGAUUAUUUCAAGGUGGCUGAAGAAGUUUCUGGUUUAUGCGGGUAUUAACACUACCAAUUUACAUCUCAUUCCACCAGGGCGGCAUCAAUGGUUGUUCCCAUCGACCAUCUCCUCGCGGCCGCAGGAUGGUCAAGGUAAUUAAUUUUUGAAUAUUUUUUUUACCAUAGGCUGAUUGCAGACCCAGGGCUAUUUGCCCAUUCUGUUUUAUGUUCAAUUUUUAGCCUCUCCUGAGAUAGACGGGUUGCUAUUGAUUGAUUUAUUAACAUAAACCAUUAAUACGUUUAAAUCAAUGUCAUGGCUAAUGCAUUGUUGAUUAUUCACUCAUCCUGAGUCAAUCGAUGCAGUUAGACACCGGGAUUUGAAUGUACAGCAUGAAAUCACAGAGCUUUGAACUCUUCACGGAAUCACUCACGUGACUCCGAAAUAAAAUAGUAAGAUUAAACUAGAACUUACCAGUUUGAAGUUUGAUUUUUAUUUUAUGAGGAUUGGUGAUUACAUGCCCUCCACUCCCAACUCUCUCUCACAAAGAUCAUCUGGUAGUUCUCAAGUUUCUGAUCUUACUAUGUUAUUUCAAUUAUUUUUACCUAUGAUUUCAUAUCACUGCUUUGAAGAUUGACACGCAUGUGAUCUGGCGGGGCUUCUUCACGUAAUCACCAACGUAACUCCUCAUAAAAUAAAGAUCAAACUUCAAACUGGAGUGUGCAGGAGGGAACUGCAGAUGGUGGAUCCGAAGAUAGACACAAAAAGCUCGAGUAACUCAGUGGAUCAGACAGCAUCUCUGGAGAAAAGGAAUAGGCUUAAUAUUUGGGCCUAUCUUCAGUUUGACGAUGAUCACAUAAUUUUCCAACACCUUCAAAUACUGGCUUGAACUGCUGCCCCUUUAAGUCCGCGUAUGACUUCAGUGAGUUCAUCCUCGUCACCAAUGUCAGACACUCACUUGGAUCUGAAUGUAAUAAACGUA